rnacentral:lncRNA from 1 species
UUUUUUUCCUUUCUUUUUCUCUUUUCUUUCUUUUCUUUUUCUUUCUUUUUCUUUCUUUUUCUUUUCUUUCUUUUCUUUUUUUCUUUCUUCUUCUUCCCCGAUUCCUUCUUCUGCCUCGCGCACUCCGCCUCGCUCUCUCUUCCUCGCGCGACCUCCACCUACGCGAGUCACAAGCUCCUCCCCGACUGCCAUCGCCACCACCCCAGCUAGUCCACCUCCCUCCAAGCUCCAUCUUCCUCAGCUUCACCAGCACAGCCGCCACCACCUCGCGUCCACCACAAGCUCACAGCCAAAACUUCCAUAGCCGCUACCUCGUGCAGCUUUCUCUUCCUACCACCCAACUCCACCUGCACUCUCUCUUCUCUUUCAGCUCACAACCUUGAGCAACCCAGCUCACGGACAGCCAUGAACAGCGCUGCUCUCCACAGCAUCUCAGCUCUCUCUCUCUCUUAGCUCAGCUCAGUUCAGCUCACGCUGCUCGUUGCUCGCGCGUGUCACACCACCAGCUCGCAUACACACGACGCACAGCUUCCCUGCUAAGCCGCUGCCUGCUGCUUCUUCCAUCACCACCACCCAGAGCUGGGCGCAGCUCCUCCUCCCUGUCCAUAGCUGCAGCCGACUGCUGCCUGAAACCCACGGCAGUCCAGCUCUCUACCCACAACCAGCUCCACAGCCACGUGGAGAUCUUCCUUCAUUCUCCACCAACAACACCAAGCAGCCGCGCCACUACCUCCUGCCCAGCUCACUAUCGCAGGCUUCACCACUGAAGCUCCACCAGCCGCAAACCGCCAUAGUCCUCUUCUCAGCUCCUCCCCCUGCUGCGAUCUGCAACUCCAGCUGCCGCCAUCUCCCUCGCGCAAGCUCCACCAGCCACCAAGCAGCCACCGCCGCAGAACCUCUGCUCUUGCAUUUUUUCAUACCCCUUUGACUAUAAGAUAACAAGAAAUAUGGUGCGAUGGAGACUUUAGUUUAGUCCGUGCAAAGUGGAAACCUCAAGGUAUCGGCUCUAAUCAGAACAUCAAGGUAUCUCUGUAGCCUCAAUUAAGUAGAUUGUUUGGGUCAAAUGAAUGUUGUGAGCUGUGUUUUUAUUACUACUUGGAACAGUCAAGUGUUUGUGUGAGCUGCCUCUGUGAUAUUAAUUUCAAUUGUAAAUUGCUGUAAUUUGUGUCCAAUUGUGGGUAAUUUGCUGAGAUUGUUUGUUAAAUUAGGAGGUGCUUGUAAUGCUUAAAUUUGCUUAUUGAAGUAGUUGCCUUGUGUGAGAGUCUUUUGUCUUUUUCAUUUCAAUUAUUUCGUUGAUUGGGGUGAUUUUGAGGUGCAUUGUUUUUGCAUUUGGCUAAGUUUGGAACCACAAGUGCUUAUUGAUUGCAUUUACUGUAAGUGUUGGGGUAUUUGUAUAACUUGCGGGUGAUUGAAUUGUGCAUUUUGUUGUUUAAAUUAACUAAGCUAGAGGCCCCAAUAUUUAUUACAAUUGUUAUUACAAUUUGUUGGAAAUGGUUGUCUAUUGUUGAUUGGAGUGAUAUUUGGAGAAAAUGGUGAGACACAGAUCAACCCCAGGGGCUGAUGACUGGCAACAACUUCAGAGAAUUUGGCAGCAUUUAUGCACCAUGUGGGUGUUGAACCUCAAUUACCGCCUAAUCGACCGAUGUCUUGACGAUUUCAGGGGAGUUUCGUUGCCCUUCUUCUUAUUCUUACUAAUUAAUUAUUACAUUGAGGGCAAUGUGUACUUUAAGUGUGGGAGAGAUUUGGAUUUGAUUGGAGUUUCUUUAAAUUGUUGCUUUUCUUAUUGUUGUCUUGAUGAAUAAAUGUGGCAUCUCACUCGUCUAUUGCUGGUUAUGAUUUAUUCUAUGAAUUUAGUUUAAGUGACAAGUAAAAGCAUGUUAUCUUGGUGAAUAUCAUGAGUUUAAUGACUUGGUGCAAAUUGUGGUUAAAUUGUUUAGGCAAUAUAAAUAUUUUACUAGCAAUUGUUGUGUGGAUUAGGCAAUUGUUGAUCUUAGUUCUCCAUAUUAGGAGAUGACGUGGGCCAUGAUCUUUAAUUAUCUGGUUUUCUGGUGCUUUAAUUGUGAUUAAUAAAUGACCCUACUCCGCUAGUGUCGUCACCCAGUAACCGGGAGUCUUCACCACAAGUGUCGACUUUCGCGUCAAAAAGUGACUAUAUAUAUGAGUAGUUAGUCCUGAAGCUGUGAAGAGUUGAGUAACUGGACUCUUUCAUCUAAAAAUGUCAGAGUUCACGUCAAAAGACUUGAAUAGCUUGGGAUUGAGCAUUUAUUGAAAAAAAAAAAUUAUUAUAAAAAUAAUAAUAAUAAUAAUAAAAAAAAGAGAAAAGAAAAUAAUAAGUAAGCUUAUGAUCAUGUUGGCCUGCCGAUCCUUGUUCUUCAAUGUUGAGAUUUUGAUUUUCAGUUGACCCAAUUGCUAACUUUUGCUAGUUUAAUAUUUUGAUUUCUUAGACGACUUAGUCAUGAAUUGGACGAGUCUAUGAUUUCAGGAGCUAACCGGGAGAAAUAUGUCUUGACACUUAGCCACUAAAACUUGAUUUUGGGAUAAGCGUAGCUUGGCAGUAAAUGAAAUGAGAGUUAGCCAUUGUUGAGUUUAGUGUUCCCAUGCUUGAGGACAAGCAUGAUUUAAGUGUGGGGGGAAUUGAUAGGGUGUUAAUUGUUAGUAAUUUUAUUGUUAAUUCUCCUCUUUAUCCUUGCCAAAUAUUGCUUUAAUUGUCAAUAUAUAUUUAUAUUUGGUAUUUGGAUAUACUUUCAGAAAGUGGAGCAGAAACCUUCUUGAGAAGAUUAUUGUGAAACUCUAUGCAAUUGGCCCAUAUGCAUGGUGUAAACCAACGUCCAUUUCUUUCUAUGAUGAAAAGGAAUUGAAUUGCAUUUGGCUGGCCAACAUCUCAAUUAGGUGGGGGCCGCGAAGACUUGACCAUUGUGUAAAGACACAUUUUUGGUUUGCUCUCUUAUUUGUGAACGUGUGCACUUGGUCAAAGGAAACCGACAAACCAUAGUUGGCUUUGCUUUUGUUUUCGGUGGAGUUGAUUAGGUAGGGAAGGAAUGUUUUCUUUUGUGAGCGUGGAGUGAAGUUUCGAAUUGGCUUGUUUUUAUUCGUGGAGAGCCGCACAUUUGCAGAGUCAGUUUUUCUUCUUCUCUUCCGUCUGGAAAGAGAAGUUUUUAGUUUUGGAGUUUUCUCUCAAAAUAAGCUCCGUAGGAGGAUAGACUAGUUUUUUAGUUUUCUCUCCAAGGGAUGUUCCAGAGGAGAGAAAACUAAAAAACUAGUCUAUCCUCCUACGGAGCUUAUUUUGAGAGAAAACUCCAAAACUAAAAACUUCUCUUCCCAGACGGAAGAGAAGAAGAAAAACUGACUCUGCAAAUGUGCGGCUCUCCACGAAUAAAAACAAGCCAAUUCGAAACUUCACUCCACGCUCACAACAGAAAACAUUCCUUCCCUACCUAAUCAACUCCACCGAAAACAAAAGCAAAGCCAACUAUGGUUUGUCGGUUUCCUUUGACCAAGUGCACACGUUCACAAAUAAGAGAGCAAACCAAAAAUGUGUCUUUACACAAUGGUCAAGUCUUCGCGGCCCCCACCUAAUUGAGAUGUUGGCCAGCCAAAUGCAAUUCAAUUCCUUUUCAUCAUAGAAAGAAAUGGACGUUGGUUUACACCAUGCAUAUGGGCCAAUUGCAUAGAGUUUCACAAUAAUCUUCUCAAGAAGGUUUCUGCUCCACUUUCUGAAAGUAUAUCCAAAUACCAAAUAUAAAUAUAUAUUGACAAUUAAAGCAAUAUUUGGCAAGGAUAAAGAGGAGAAUUAACAAUAAAAUUACUAACAAUUAACACCCUAUCACUAAAAAUUAGAAGGAAAUCUUGAGCAGUUUUUAGAUUUUGAUUGUAGCGUAUUUUUUCAUGCAGACAGAAAUACUCUUCUAAUUUUAAACAUAAUUACUACCUAAAGGCAAGAUAAAUUUUGUUGCUUCACAUCUCGCUCCAUUCUCCUCCUAUUCUUCUCUUACCUCCAGAUGUGUAUGUGUUCCUCUUUCCUCUUUGUUUUUCUUCUCCAACAGUUGAUCUCUAUAAUUAAAGUAAUUAAUUACAUUAAAAUUAUCUGAUUAGCACAAAACACUAUUUUGGUCAUCUGUUUUUUCAAAAUAGCUUUCUUAAUAGUAAGCAAAAACAAAUAAAUCAUUCUCAAAAAUCUGAUUUUUGAUAAUCAAUUUUAUUAAAUCAACUUUUACAAAAUCCAGCCUUUCUUCUCUGUGUAGGGCCAAUCUGGAAGAGAAGAGAAUCAAAUAGUUCUUGGUUGUGAAUUUUGAACUGGUUGUUUGUUGGUCAGGAAUUCUUGUUUAGGCAGCUAAUAGCACUCAUACAUUUUUUUGGGGGCAAAUAUGGAGCUUUAUUGAUCAAGAAAUAAGCGAGUAUACAAGAAUCAAACAAUUCCUUCUUACAUAAAUCCUAUCACUAUUAUACUGGAUGCAAUCAUACACUUUGUUUUGAUCUACAGUUUAAAUUCUUCUAUCUUUUAGUAGCAACAUAUUGUUGCGCAGAGUUAAGGUGUGAAAUAAAAUAUGCAAGAAAGAAGCAUUUCCAAUUAGAGGUACCAAUUACAAUCUAAUUAUGUUGACCUUCCCAAACCUGUUCACCAAUAACUCAUCCAAACUCGAUCAUUAAUUUUCAAUGGGUCUAAAUGGGUACCCAAUUAAACCCAUUUAAUUAGUGGGUUGUGAAUUGGCUCUACUCAUCCAUUUAUACCCAUUUAAAAAUAAUUAUAUACUUAAACUCAACUUUUAGUGAGUGUUAAGAAAAUAAAUUUAAAAUUUUUAUGAAUCUAAUAAUAAUAAAACCCCAUUAUUUAUUGUUAAACAACACGCAAAAGAAAAAAAAAAACGUAGAAUUUUGAAUGACUUAUAAAUGAAAAAUGGGUAUAAACGGGUAUCCAUUUGUACCUAUUUAUUUAAAUAAGCAUAAAUGGAUGGAUCUAGUUAUACUUACCCAAUUAUAACCCAUCCAAACCUGCCUGAAUUACACAUUUUAACACCUCUAUUAUUACUAUGUCUAUUUAUUCGCCUGUUUUGCCUCUUUGAGUUUCUUUGUUUGCCCAAUCAAAAUGUUUCGUGUGCUUCAUCAAGUUGUUUUAGUUAAGGAAUUACUUUGAAAGGUACAUCUAACUUUGUCAACAAAAACAGGGUUAGCCCAGUGGCCGAAUGAAAACUUUAGAGUUUUCCUCACUAUUAGGAUUUGUGGUUCAGAUCUUGAGUUGAGAGUUGGAGGUGGGAGGAUACAAAAAAAAAAAAAAAAAAAACAACUUCAUUGCCUAAAAAAUAAUGAUUGGCUGAAAUGGAAAAUAAGACUUUUCGGCAGAGACAAAAUAAUGAGUGAUAUUUUAAAGGAUACUACGGUUUCUUCGCUGAACAAAUAUAAUGGAUAUUAUGACAAUUGACCCUGUUGUAUCUCUUGGUGCAAUAUAAUGAACUACAUGGGAUCUAGUUUUGAUUCUUUUAUGAUAUCACACAAAACAAAUCAAGACAAAGAUAUUGCUAAUAAUUUAGCAAAAGACAUGCAUUAGGGCAAAUACAGGAUUAGAGAGCAAUAAACUUUUUUUGGGGGGUGCUUUUUUAUUUUUAUUUUUAUUUAAAAUUUUCAGCCAAGAUGACCAAUUAAACAUACAUUAAACCUGUAUUUGCACCACCAAACUUCAUAUUCGGAUAUCAUUAAAAAUAAGGGCUUGCCGUACAUGGGAUAACAUAUAUUGGCACAAUUUAGGCAUCCCUAUGGAGUACUAUUAUCCAUGAUCAAGCAGGAACGACUGUAAGGAAUUGGAAUCAAGAGCAGAUCAUUUUUCCGCCUCAUUGUAAUGCCAAAUUUUGCAGUCAUGUCUAAUUCUUCUUGUUUCAUGUCACCAGGGAGCUUCCAAUCAAAAUGGAACAAUAAUUGUGCAAGAGCUAGCUGAAUAACUGGUUGAGAAAAUGCUAUGCCUGGACAAAUCCUUCUUCCAGCACCAAAUGGG